AAUCAACGCUGGCGGCGUGCCUCAGACAUGCAAGUCGAACGAUUAAGACUUCCUUCGGGAAGUGCAUAAAGUGGCGCACGGGUGAGUAACACGUAAGUAAUCUACCCUCGAGUGGGGAAUAACGUUCGGAAACGAACGCUAAUACCGCAUAACGCAGCGGCACCGCAAGGUGACAGUUGUUAAAGGAGCAAUCCGCUUGAGGAGGAGCUUGCGGCAGAUUAGCUAGUUGGUAAGGUAAUGGCUUACCAAGGCUACGAUCUGUAUCCGGUCUAAGAGGACGGUCGGACACACUGACACUGAAUAACGGGUCAGACUCCUACGGGAGGCAGCAGUCGGGAAUUUUGGGCAAUGGGCGAAAGCUUGACCCAGCAACGCCGCGUGAAGGAUGAAGUAUUUCGGUAUGUAAACUUCGAAAGAAUGGGAAGAAUAAAUGACGGUACCAUUUAUAAGCUCCGGCUAACUACGUGCCAGCCGCCGCAGUAAAAC
rnacentral:rRNA from 1 species